rnacentral:lncRNA from 1 species
GAACAGGACCAUGGAAUUACAGCCAUAAUUGGGUACUCAGAAGAUGAAAAGGCAAAGGAAGGUGAAAUUUCUGGAUUGGUACUUGAACUCAAUGAGAACAUACAGCAAAUUAAUCCGAUUGAACCACCAAAAGAAGAAUGCAUUACUCUAGAUGAAGUAUCACAGUUAGAGCAUCAAGAAAAUGCGUCUGCAAUAAAAUGCUCAGAUUCUCCAACAGAAAGUGACAAAGUCAUGGAGCUGUCAGAAGAGGUGAGGCCACCAUAACUACCCUCAUCCUCUAUUAAUAGUCAUUAUUAAACUAAGUAAUUAACUUCAAUGGAUUUCUCUUUUGCAUUUCCAUAUGGUUUGAGUAGGUUUAUUUGAUAUAUUGAAGUUAUGUGCAUUGAAUAGGUGCCUGAGGAAGCUGAGAAAGCUGCAGAAGAACGUGAAAACAUCAAAGAACGGAUCAUAGAGAGAGAGAGAGAGAUCAACGAAUUUCCUGCAGUAUACAUUGAAGAUGAAUCAGUUGACAAGGUCAGCUUAACAUUAGUAUAUGAAAUAUUAAUUCAACCAUUUCUCAUAUGCUGCUGUCUUUUCUUUUUUCUAUCCACUAAUUUCAGCAUUAUCUGUUAAGCAGGAGCAACAUUCUGAGACGGUAUCCAAUGAGAAUCCUAGCGCAACAGAUUCCGAAGUGCAAACAGAAAAAAUGAACCUAGAGGUUGAGGAAGAUUUCAGCAAAGACCCUGAAGGAUCUCCCGUUACAAAAGCAAUGGAAGAAGAGAUGCUACAGAAACAGGGUAGUGAGGAGAAAGUGGACGUCUCCAGCUCUGUAUCUGAAAUAUCAGAAGAAAUUAAGGAGGAGAUCAUAGAAGACGCGGACACUUGCUCUAACAAUAUUGAUACUGCAUCUGAAAAAGUGGAAACAGAACAGACAAGCUUGCAGGAAGCUCAGCUGGAUGACAAGCAUAUAAAGAUCAUUGAGACUAGUUCAGAAGAUAAGACAUUGCAAACAAACACCGCAACUGAAACUAUUCCACAGGGUGUAGAAGUUGACAGAGUUAAGCUUGAAGAAACCUCUGAAGGGGUGUCUCAACUUCCAGCUAUUGCAUGUGAGAACAGAAACAAGGAGAGUGAAAUUGUGGAAAAGCCACAUGUAGAUGAAGUUGAAGAAAUUGAAGGAGCUUCUGAAACAGUAUCUGAGUCCAGAGAACAAUGUGUUGAAGAAAAUGAUGGAACACAGAAAAGCCUAACUGUGGAAGAAUCAGAAGAACGUAUAAUUAAAGAAGAAAUCAAAGGACCAUCUGAAACAGUGUCUGGAUGCAACUAUGAAGGUGUUGAAGCAGUUAUUGAAGAUGAAAUCGAUGUUGUUCAGACUGCCACAGAAGGAAAAUCAGAAGAGCAACAUCAGGAAACAUCCAAAGCAUUGCUUUCUGAAGAACAGGACCAUGGAAUUAUAGCCACAAUUGGGUACUCAGAAGAUGGAAAGACAAAGGAAGAAGAAACCCCAAAAAAUGAGAACCUAGAAGAUUCUUUUGCCACAAAGACAGCAGAUUACAUGCACUUGCAAAAGGAAGAGCCCAGGGAGCUCGAACUUUCUGGAUUGGGGCUGGAAGUCAAUGAGAACAUGCAGAAAAUUAAUCCAAAUGAACAACCAAAGGAAGAAUGCAUUACUGUAGAUGAAGUAUCACAGCUAGAGCCUCAAGAAAACGUGUCUGCAAUAAAAUGCUCAGAUUCUCCAACAGAAAGUGACAAAGCCAUGGAGCUGUCAGAAGAGGUCAGACCACCAUAACUGCCCUCAUCCUCUCUUAUUACUUGUUAUUAAACUAAGUAAUUAACUUCAACGGAUUUCUCUUUUUGAAUUUCCAUACGGUUUGAGUAGGUUUUAUUUGAUAUAUUGAAGUUAUGUGCAUUGAAUAGGUGCCUGAGGGAGCUGAGAAAGCUGCAGAAGAACGUGAAAACAUCAAAGAACUGAUCAUAGAGAAAGAGAGAGAUAUCAAGGAAUUUCCAGCAGUAUCCAUUGAAGAUGAAUCAGUUAACAAGGUCAGCUUAACAUUAGUAUAUGAAAUCUUAUUUCAACCAUUUCUCAUAUGCAGCUGUCUUUUUUUCUUUCUAUCCACUAAUUUCAGCAUUAUGUAUUAAACAGGAACAACAUUCUGAGACAGUAUCCGAUGAGAAUCCUAGAGCAACAGAUUCUGAAGUGCAAACUGAAAAUGUUAACCUAGAGGUUGUGGAAGAUUUCAGCAAAGACCCUGAAGGAUCUCCCAUUACAAAAGCAAUGGAAGAAGAGAUGCUACAGAAACAGGGUGGUGAGAAGAAAGUGGAUGUCUCCAGCUCUGUAUCUGAAAUAUCAGAAGAAAUUAAUAAGGAGGUCAUAGAAGAUGCCGACACUUGCUCUAACAGUAUUGAUACUGCAUCUGAAAAAGUGGAAACAGAACAGACAAGCUUGCAGGAAGCUCAGCUGGAUGACAAGCAUAUAAAGAUCAUUGAGACUAGUUCAGAAGAUAAGACAUUGCAAACAAACACCGCAACUGAAACUAGUCCACAGGGUGUAGAAGUUGACAGAGUUAAGCUUGAAGAAACCUCUGAAGGGGUGUCUCAACUUCCAGCUAUUGCAUGUGAGAACAGAAACAAGGAGAGUGAAAUUGUGGAAAAGCCACAUGUAGAUGAAGUUGAAGAAAUUGAAGGAGCUUCUGAAACAGUAUCUGAGUCCAGAGAACAAUGUGUUGAAGAAAAUGAUGGAACACAGAAAAGCCUAACUGUGGAAGAAUCAGAAGAACGUAUAAUUAAACAAGAGAUCAAAGGACCAUCUGAAACAGUGUCUGGAUGCAACUAUGAAGGUGUUGAAGCAGUUAUUGAAGAUGAAAUCGAUGUUGUUCAGACUGCCACAGAAGGAAAAUCAGAAGAGCAAAAUCAGGAAACAUCCAAAGCAUUGCUUUCUGAAGAACGGGACCAUGGAAUUAUAGCCACAAUUGGGUACUCAGAAGAUGGAAAGACAAAGGAAGAAGAAACCCCACAAAAUGAGAACCUAGAAGAUUCUUUCGCCACAAAGACAGCAGAUUACAUGCACUUGCAAAAGGAAGAGCCCAGGGAGCUCGAACUUUCUGGAUUGGGGCUGGAACUCAAUGAGAACAUACAGAAGAAUAACCCAAAUGAACCACCAAAGGAAGAAUGCAGCACUAUAGAUGAAGUGUCACCAUUAGAGCCUCAAGAAAAUGUCUCUGUGAUAAAAUGCACAGAUUCUCCUGUGGAAAGUGACAAAGUCAUGGAACUAACAGAAGAGGUCAGACCACCAUAACUACUCUCUCAUUACUCAUUACUGAAUUAAGUAAUUAACUUGUAUGCUUUUCCCUGUUUGCAAUUCCAUAUGGCUUGAGUGGUGGGUUUUAUUCAAUAUAUUGAAGUUAUGUCUACUGAAUAGGUGCCUGAGGGAGCUGAGAAAGCUGCAGAAAGGGAAAACAUCAAAGAACUGAUCAUAGAGAAAGAGAGAGAUAUCAAGGAACUUCCUGCAGUUUCCACUGAUGAAUUGGUUAUCGAGGUCAGCUUAAUAUUAAUGUGGAAUAUUAUUUCACCCUUUUCUCAAUGCCAAUGCUUUUUCUUCUUCCUGUGGUCUCUCAUGUCAACAUUAUCUGUUAAUCAGGUGCAAGUUCUGGAGCCAGUUUCCAGUGAAAAUCUUGGAGUGACAGACCCCAAUAUGCCUGCAGAGAACUUGAACUUAGAGGUGGAAGAUUCAAGUAAGGAACCAAUAGGAUCUCCCAUUACAGAAGCAUUGGAAGAAGAAAUGUCAGAGAAACAAGAUGGUGAGAAGGCAAUGGAUGUCCUUAGCUCUGUAUCUGAAAUGCAAGAAGAAAAUAUUAAAGAGGAGAUCAUGGAGAAAGCAGACAUUUCCUAUAGCAAGCUUGAUGCUGCAUCUGAAAAGGGGGAAACAGAAGAGUCAAGCUCGCAGGAAGCUCAGCUGGAUGACGAGCCUGUGAAGAUCAUUGAGACUAGUUCAGAAGAUAAGACACUACAAACAAACACCAUAACUGAAACUAGUCCACAGGCUGAAGAGGUUGACAGAAUGAAGCUUGAAGAAACCUUGGAAUUGGUGUCUCAACUUCCAGCUAAGGCAUGUGAGAACACAAACAAGGAGAGUGAAACAGUGGAAAGGCCAAUUGCAGAUGAAAUUGAAGAAACCACAGGAGCUUCUGAUACAGUAUCAGAGUCCAAAGAACAAUGUGCUGAAGAAAUUGAUGAAACCCAGAAAAGCCUAAGCCAGGAAAAAUCAGAGGAAGAUAUAAUUAAAGAACAAAUCAAAGGAGCAUCUGAAAUGGAUUCUGAAUCAAAAUAUCAAGGUGUUGAAGCAGUAAUUGAAGAAGAGAUCACUGCAGGUCAAGCUAUCCAAGCAGAAAAACCAGAAGAACAACUCGAGGAAGUGUCUACUGCAAUACUUUCUGAGAAGUUAGAAGAUGAGAACAUAAAGGAAGGUGAGAUCCCACAAUACAAGAAUCCACAAGAUUCUUUUGGCACAAAGACGUCAGAAAAUACAUGCUUGCAAAAAGAAGAGCCCAGGGAGCUCGAUGUUUCUGGAUUGGGGCUGGAUAUCAAUAAGGAUGUAUCAAAGGAAGAUGGCAAUGGUGUAGAUGGAGUAUCACAGUAUGAGCUGCAAGAAAAUGCAUCUGAGUUAAAAUACACAGAUUCUCUAUUGGAAAGUGAGAAGGUGAUGGAACAAACAAGAUCCAUCAACAGCGCUCAACAGGAGGCUACAAAAGAUGACGAGAAUUUGGAUUCAGGGAUUUUCAACAAUAACCCUGAUGUCCUCACUCAUUCACCAGGUGAAGAAAUUUUACAGGAAGUGGAUGAAAACUGUGAGGAGGCUUCCAACCUUGAGUGUGAAAAUUUUGAAAAGGCUUCUGAACCUGUAUUGGACCUUCAGAGUACUGAAAUUGAUGAAGCAGUGGUUGGAUUGGAAGUAGGAGCUCACAUUCAGGGAAGUGAUGCUCCUAACACCAAAAACAGUGACAAUCUUAUAGAAGAGGUUAGGCCACCGUAACAACUUCAUUCUCUCUCACAACUAAUCAUUAAAUGAAGAAAUUAAUUAUAAUAAGAAUCUCUUUUUGCAAUUCCACAUGGUUCAAGUAGGUUUUGAAUUGAUAUAUUUAAGUUAUCUGUUGAAUAGGUACCUCAGGGAGCUGAGAAAGCUGUAGAAAGUGAAAACAUCAAAGAACCGAUCAUAGAGAAAGAGAGAGAUAUAAAGGAACUUCCUGCAGUAUACAUCGAAGAUGAAACAGUUAAUAAGGUCAGCUUAACAGUAAUAUUAUUUAUGAUCACCUCAAGUGCUUUUUCAACCAUUUCUUAUAUUCUGCUGCUUUUUCUUUUUUGUAUGAUCACCAAUGUGGAAUUAUCCAUUAAGCAGGUGCAACAUGCUGAGGCAGUAUCCAAUGAGAAUCUUAGAGCAAUAGAUUCCAAUAUGCAGACAGAAAGACUGAACUCAGAGGUUGCAGAAUAUUUGAGUAAGGAUCCAGAAGGAUCUCCCAUUUCACAAGCAUUGCAAGAAGAGAUGUCACAGAAACAAGCUAGUGAGAAGACAGUAGAAAUCACUAUCUCUGUAUCUGAAAUGUCAGAAGAAAGUUUUAAAGAUGAGAUCAUAAAGGAAGCAGACACUUGUAGCAAGAUUGAUACUGCACCUGAAAAAGUGGUAACAGAAGAGACAAGCUUGCAGGAAGUUCAGCUGGAUGACAAGCCUCUAAAGGGCAUUGAGACUAGUACAGCAGAGAAGAUCCUUCCAACAAACACCACAACUGAAAGUAGUCUACAGGGUGAAGAAGUUGACAGCCUGAAAGUUGAAACCUCUGAGUUGAAGUCUCGACUUCCAACUAUAGCAUGCGAGAGUGCAGACAAGGAGAGUAAAACAGUGGAAAAGCCACAUGCAGAUGAAGUUGAAGAACCCAAAGGACCUACUGAUACAGUAUCCGAAUCCAGGGAACAAUGUGUUGAAAACAUUGUUGAAACCCGGGAAAGCCUGACCCUCCAAAAGUCAGAGGAAAAUAUAAUCAAAGAAGAAAUCAAAGGACCAUCUGAUACAGUAUCUGAAUGCACAUAUCAAAGUUUUGAAGCAGUUAUUGAAGAUGAGAUCACUGCUGAUCAAACUAUAGAAGCAGAAAAUCCAGAAGAGCAACUUCAGGAAAUGUCUACUGCAUUAGUUUCUGAGGAACAGGAGCAUGGAAUCAGCACCAUAACUACAAAGUUGGACUAUGAGAACACAGUGGAAGAUGAAACCCCACAAUAUGAGAAUCAAGAGGAUUCUCUUGGCACAAAGAUGACAGAAGAGAGAUGCUUGGACAAGGAGGAAUCCAGGGAGCUUGAAGUCUCCGAAUUGGAACUCAAUGAUGAUGUACAGAAAAAGCCUUCAAACGAAGAGCCAAAGGAAGGGGGCAACUUUCUACAUGGAAUAACACCAUCAGAGCCUCAAGAAGAAGCUUUUGAGAUAAAAUGCAGAGACUCUCUAGCAGAAAGUGACAUGGAACUAACAAGAUCCAUGGACAGUACUUCGCAGGAGGCUUCAAAGGAUGAUGAAGAUUUGGAUUCAGGGAUCUCU